rnacentral:misc_RNA from 1 species
GACGAAGGAUGCAAGCGUUAUCCGGAUUCAUUGGGUUUAAAGGGUGCGUAGGCGGCCUUGUAAGUCAGUGGUGAAAGCCUGUUGCUUAACAACAGAACUGCCAUUGAUACUGCAGGGCUUGAGUACAGAUGCUGUGGGCGGAAUAUGACAUGUAGUGGUGAAAUACUUAGAGAUGUCAUAGAACACCGAUUGCGAAGGCAGCUCACAAAACUGUAACUGACGCUGAGGCACGAAAGUGCGGGGAUCAAACAGG